ensembl:lncRNA
UUAAAACCUCCUCGGCGUAUUUUUCUUGUCCGGGUGAAAGCGCAGAUUUGAAGGACGGUGCUGGAAGUGUUCCAUUUUCUUUUUAUAUUGUCCUGUAAAAACCAACAGUGGAGUGAUCUUGGAAAAUUACUACUCUGUGUAGCAAAGGCCGGAUGCAACUAAUUCCUCGACUUAUGUGCCAUCAUGGUUGUCUAAACUAUUUCUGGCCAUGUUGCAUGAGGACUAACAUGAUUGGAUUUCUUCAAACAGCGUUGACGCAAAGCAAUGUCAUCUCGGUUCACUGCAGCUCUUUCCAGCAGUAUUUGGACACAUGCAUGUAUUUAUUUCAGCCUACAAUGUGCGCACCCUGCUUGAGGGCUAAUUACAUUUGCACAGCUCAAAGGCCCGCGAGUGUCACCUUUCCUUUUGAGACACCUCCCUGGCACAACGGCGUGGAGGAAAACAUCACGAGAUUUGGGGAAAACGAAGCUCGUAAUUGUGAUCUACUCGUGUUUGUGAUCAAGAAGUUCACAAGCAUAAGCACGUUGAAACAUAACCCACGGUUCAUUUGUCACGGAUGUUUCUUAGCCUGUCUAGUGCGGACACACACGCGCGCGCUCACGUGCGCUCACACAUGCCGUGAAGACCACGUGAGCUACAGAGGAGCAGAAAGAGACGACGAGAGGGAAGCACAGUUGACUUCCUCUGUCGUUACUCACACCUGCAGUAGAAUGCAUCUCCAUAGCAACAAGACUUGCAACUGUGCAGAGUUGAUAUUUGAGGUUGUGAUCUUUAAUGCCCACUUUUAUCUCCCUUUUUUACUGCAGUAUUUUGUGGAAAUGCAUUUCUCGGUGGGUUUUCUCCCUGACCUCCUCUCUUAAUUGGGUUUGUUUCACAACUAAGACUCGCUUGUCAUCAGUCUGUCAACUGAAAGCUAUUAAUAAAUCAUCCCAAAUCAUGCUCAUAUACGCAGGAACAAAAAUGGUGUAAUGAUUUCUUUGACUACAUCUCUCCUGUCAGCCAAUUACUGUAUACAAUGAACAUGUAAUUCAAAUUGGCUUAUACAAUUAUUGUAUCAUUAUUAUUAUAUAGUUAUUGUACAAUUAUAUAAUAUAUUGUGCCUACACGAUGCCAUCUUUUCUAAAACCUUUUUA